rnacentral:rRNA from 1 species
CGGGGUGAGUAAUGUAUGGGGAUCUGCCUGAUGGCGGGGGAUAGCUACUGGAAACGGUAGCUAAUACCGCAUAAUGUCUACGGACCAAAGCGGGGGACCUCCGGGCCUCGCGCCAUCAGAUGAACCCAUAUGGGAUUAGCUAGUAGGUAAGGUAACGGCUUACCUAGGCGACGAUCCCUAGCUGGUCUGAGAGGAUGAUCAGCCACACUGGGACUGAGACACGGCCCAG